UACAGAGGGUGCGAGCGUUAAUCGGAAUUACUGGGCGUAAAGCGCGCGUAGACGGUUUUGUAAGUCAGAUGUGAAAUCCCUGUGCUCAACCUGGGAACUGCAUUUGAUACUGCAUGGCUAGAGUAUCGAAGAGGGAAGUGGAAUUUCCGGUGUAGCGGUGAAAUGCGUAGAUAUCGGAAGGAACACCAGUGGCGAAAGCGACUUCCUGGUCGAAUACUGACGUUCAUGUGCGAAAGCGUGGGGAGCAAACAGG
rnacentral:rRNA from 1 species